AAGGUCCCUUCUCCCCGCUCAUUUUGUGUUUCUUAGGAGCCGAAAACGGCUGUUUUUAUCAGAAUUUCCGCCACCGAUCCCCCCCCAGUUCGCAGCGACGUGGAGAAGAAAGACUCUUGUUCCCCUCGGCCAAGUUUCCUUUCGGAGAGGCAACGGCUGGAUUGGCAAAAAUCUGAGUCAUCAUUGUUUAAGGAGACACUGCUGCGAUGAUUUUCCCACUACUUGAACAUAAUAAAACUUGCUCAAGUAAUCAGUAAGGAUUUUUCUUUCACGGCAAUUUCCUAAAUAUUCCAUUUUCUUAAUGUCCAGUGACUGGUCCCUACAUUGGAAGUAAUACUAAAAAUGGCAUGUCUUGAUGUAUCUGCUACACUGAAACAGUUGGCUGCUAAGCAGGAGGAGAGAGUCUUCAGAAGCACUUUUCCAAGACCAAACUUCAAUUAAAAAUAAAUGCACAUUGUUUUUCAGAGUACAAAGAAUUAAAAGUCGUCUCUAAUAUGUUUAUUAAUUAAUAUUAUUAGUAGUAUGUUUGUUAUUAUAUUGUUUUGAGAAAGGCCUGUAAACUCCUUUUGACCUCUUGAUAUUGUAACUGCUGAUGAUAGUAAAACUCUGGGCAGUGUUAGGAUUCAAGUAAUUUAUGCUUUCAAAAUUAUUAAAAUAUGUUUUUUGACCAAUAA